GAUGAACGCUGGCGGCGUGCCUAAUACAUGCAAGUCGAGCGAACAGACGAGGAGCUUGCUCCUCUGACGUUAGCGGCGGACGGGUGAGUAACACGUGGAUAACCGACCUAUAAGACUGGGAUAACUUCGGGAAACCGGAGCUAAUACCGGAUAAUAUAUUGAACCGCAUGGUUCAAUAGUGAAAGACGGUUUUGCUGUCACUUAUACAUGGAUCCGCGCCGCAUUAGCUAGUUGGUAAGGUAACGGCUUACCAAGGCAACGAUGCGUAGCCGACCUGAGAGGGUGAUCGGCCACACUGGAACUGAGACACGGUCCAGACUCCUACGGGAGGCAGCAGUAGGGAAUCUUCCGCAAUGGGCGAAAGCCUGACGGAGCAACGCCGCGUGAGUGAUGAAGGUCUUCGGAUCGUAAAACUCUGUUAUUAGGGAAGAACAAAUGUGUAAGUAACUAUGCACGUCUUGACGGUACCUAAUCAGAAAGCCACGGCUAACUACGUG
rnacentral:rRNA from 1 species